AUACCCGACGCGCAAGCCAGUGCCGCACCCAGACCAGAUCUCCGCGACAUAUCAGUCGUUCGUCCAGCUAACUGCACUGCACUGCACUGCACGCAAUGGCCACCACGGCGACCGAGGCGGCCAAGGCUGCACCGGCGCAGGAGCAGCAGGCCAACGGCAACGGCAACGGCGAGCAGAAGACGCGCCACUCCGAGGUCGGCCACAAGAGCCUGCUCAAGAGCGACGACCUGUACCAGUACAUCCUGGACACGAGCGUGUACCCGCGGGAGCCGGAGAGCAUGAAGGAGCUGCGCGAGAUCACCGCCAAGCACCCAUGGAACCUGAUGACCACCUCCGCCGACGAGGGCCAGUUCCUCAACAUGCUCAUCAAGCUCAUCGGCGCCAAGAAGACCAUGGAGAUCGGCGUCUACACCGGCUACUCGCUCCUCGCCACCGCGCUCGCACUCCCGGAGGACGGCACGAUCUUGGCCAUGGACAUCAACCGCGAGAACUACGAGCUAGGCCUUCCCUGCAUCAACAAGGCCGGCGUGGGCCACAAGAUCGACUUCCGCGAGGGCCCCGCGCUCCCCGUCCUGGACGACCUCGUGGCGGACAAGGAGCAGCACGGGUCGUUCGACUUCGCCUUCGUGGACGCCGACAAGGACAACUACCUCAGCUACCACGAGCGGCUCCUGAAGCUGGUGAGGCCCGGCGGCCUCAUCGGCUACGACAACACGCUGUGGAACGGCUCCGUCGUGCUCCCCGACGACGCGCCCAUGCGCAAGUACAUCCGCUUCUACCGCGACUUCGUCCUCGCCCUCAACAGCGCGCUCGCCGCCGACGACCGCGUCGAGAUCUGCCAGCUCCCCGUCGGCGACGGCGUCACGCUCUGCCGCCGCGUCAAGUGAAAAAAAGAAGAAGAAGAAAAAAAACAUAAUACCCUGCGUUCCUGCUGCCCCGGCUGUCUGGCCCCCACUACUGCCACCGACGGCGGCGCCGAACCCCCGUUCCAAUCAUCAUAUCGUAGACGACGCGCAGCAUUAAACUAUCAAUCACCGGA
rnacentral:misc_RNA from 1 species